UACGUAGGGGGCAAGCGUUGUCCGGAAUCAUUGGGCGUAAAGAGCGUGUAGGCGGUCCGGUAAGUCCGCUGUGAAAGUCGGGGGCUCAACCCUCGAAUGCCGGUGGAUACUGUCGGGCUAGAGUGCGGAAGAGGCGAGUGGAAUUCCUGGUGUAGCGGUGAAAUGCGCAGAUAUCUGCAGGAACACCCGUGGCGAAAGCGGCGCGCUGGACCACAACUGACGCUGAAUGACGAAAGCUAGGGGAGCAAACAGG
rnacentral:rRNA from 1 species